rnacentral:lncRNA from 1 species
AAUUAUGUAAUCUUCAUUGUCCUUAAAAUUAAACUCCUCUUCUGAAGUGAUGGAGAAGAGUGUCCUUGUAACUUACAUAUGCUUUUAAAGCUAUCAAAAUACCUCCAGCCUUUCCUAUAGGUCAAAAUGUGAAACUAACAUUGCAAUCGUUUCAUUUAUUUUUUUUGCCCACUGAAAGCUUUUCUUAAGUUGUUGAGGUUUCUUUCAGCUGAGUUAAUCAAUUGUCAUGACCUUUUUCUCUCAAAAGAAAUAGUUGUUUUUUUUUUUGCUUUUUAGUGUUACACCCACAGCAUAUGGAGGUUCCCAGGCUAGGGGUCUAAUUGGAGCUACAGCUGCCAGUCUACACCACAGCCACAGCCACACCCCUUAACCCACUGAGCAAGGCCAGGGAUUGAACCCGAAACCUCAUGGUUCCUAGUCAGAUUUGUUUCCACUACAGGAAUUCCAGAAAUAUUUUUUUUUUAUAAGAGCAAAUUACUCUCUGAUUUUUCUUCAAUAUUUUUUGACUCGUUUUCUGUAGUAUCCAGAAAUUACCCUCUUCUUAAAGAACUUAUCCUCUGCUAAAAACAUACCCUCUCCCUUCUGAUUACAGAAUUACAGACAAUUGAUUACAAGCAAUGUAAAAAUUCUUGUGAAUAUUUUAAAAACUGAUUUUUCAUUGUUGUUGUUGUUUCUAGGGCCACACUUGUGGCCUAUGGAGGUUCCCAGCCCAGGCCAGGGGUAUAAUCACCCGCCUACACCAGAACCACACCAACACCAGAUCCGAGCCUUGUCUGCAACCGACACCACAGCUCACGGCAACGCCCACUGAGCGAGGCCAGGUUUUGAACCGGCAACCUCAUGGUUCUUAGUUGGAUUCGUUAACCACUGAGCCAGGAUGGGAAUUCCAGAACUGAUUUAUUUUUAAACAAUUGCUUACUCCAUGAAUGGACUUUGCCAUCAAUGGUCAUGUCACCUGCUCACAGGUGUGAAAUUGACCAUCAGUCCCUCUCUCCUCCAACUGUAAAGAGACAAUUUUAGAAUUUUUAUUAACAGACAAUAAUUGAAGGUGAAUUCAAGUAACACCUUUGUCACAGGACAGAGCCAAGCCUUCAGGGUGAAUUCCUGUUGCCUCAGACCAGGCCUCCCUAGAAACCGGUCCACACAGCAUUGAGAUACCAAUCCAAAGGGAAGCGGGCUGGUGUCCUUUACCAAAGUCACCAUAACUGGGCUAUCCUGGCCACAGCUAUUCAGCAAUCAAGGCCCCUUUUGGCAUCUGAGCAUGCCCAGCUCUGUCUGCUGUUGCUGAAGAAUCUCAGUGCCCUGAGGGAGAUACAAGCCAAUGGGAAUAAAAAGCUCUUAGGGCUAGUGAUGCCUUGUCGUUUAGAGAGAGCUUGAAAAGAACUGGGAAGGACUGACAGAAAGAAAUGAAGGUAGCCAAACAGAUAUUAUUUUGAUUUUGCGGUAAAAGGCCUCUCCACUUAUUAAAAUUCUUCCUACCCCUUGAAGCCAAAGUAGAAAGCAACCUCCUUUCAGCAAUCUUCUGGUUGCCCCUAGGUGUGGGCGAACACCUGGACCUUCUCAUUCAGCAAUUACGUGCCGCUUUGAGGUGUUGAUGAUUCUAGCUGUGCCUCAUUUAUUUUACCAGGGUGCAAGUUCCUCAGUGGGAGAUACAAUGUCUGAAGUCACUUCGUGGCGUUCCCCUUGGAGCUCAGUGGGUUAAGAACCCAACAUAGCAUCUCGAGGAUGCAGGUUCCAUCCCUGGCCUUGCUUAGUGGGUUAAAGAUUCGGCGUUGCCACAAGCUGUGGCAUAGGUUGCAGAUGCAGCUUGGAUCUGGUGUUGCUGUGGCUUUGGUGUAGGCCAGCAGCUGCAGUUCCCACUCAACUGCUAGCCCAGGAACUUCCAUAUGCUGCAGGUGCAUAUGGAAGAAAAAAAACUAAAGAUAAAAGAAAAAAAAAAAGCCACUUUAUUUCCCAUUGUGGCUCAGUGGGUUAUGAAUCUGACUAGGAUCCAUGAGGAUUCGGGUUUGAUAACCCCUCGCUCAGUAGGUUAAGGAUCUGGUGUUGCUGCAAGCUGUGGCAUAGGUGACAGAUGUGGCUUGGAUCUGGUGUUGCUGUGGCUGUGGCUAGUAGCUGCAGGUCUGAUUCAACCCCUAGCCCGGGAAUUUCCAUAUGCCGCAGGUAUGGCCUGAAUAAUAAUAAUAACAGGAGUUCCCGUCGUGGUGCAGUGAAGAUGAAUCCAACCAGGAACCAUGAGGUUGUAGGUUCGGUCCCUGGCCUUGCUCAAUGGGUUAAAGAUCCCGGGUUGCCAUGAGCUGUGGUGUAAGUCACAGAUGCAGCUUGGAUCUGGGGUUGCUGUGGCUCUGGUGUAGACUGCUGGCUACAGCUCUGAUUAGACGCCUAGCCUGGGAACCUGAUCCAGCCCUAAAAGGACAAAAAAAAGACAAAAAAAAAAAGAUAAUAUUAAUCAUAAUAAUUUGUGUGAUUCAAGCAAAUAAAAUAGCUUUUCCAUGUUUUAGAUUCCUCAAUAAAAAAGAGGUAAGUAUUCACCUAAUUUUAGGAUUGUAUCAAAACGAAAUAAAAUAUUUCAAGUAACGUGUGUAAUAUGCUGCUUGAAUCAUGAUGCUCAAAUACAUGUAUUGUUAUCUGCAUAUAGAUAUGAUUGCCGCACAUGAUGAGAGGCCAUCCCAGGGCCACCUGGCUAAGGUGGAGGAAUAGAGUGCACACUUUCUAAACACCUACGUUCUUCCCCCCUCCUUCUGUUUUUGUCUCUAGUUUUUAUUGAAUCCGCAUCCCCAGGUGCACCUCUAUAAGAGGCAGGGAACCUCAACAAGGAGGCGUGUUCCCCAGAAGUCAAAUGAGUUUAUAGACAUGUCCUGUGACAUCAUGGAGCCUUCCUGAUAACACAUCAUACUGGCUGCUGUCCUCCCCUGUGCUGUUCUAGAGGGGCUGCUUGGGGAUCACACUGUCAAGGCCUUUGGUUUAUAGAAACAUCUUUCCCAUUAAUCAAAGAUUAUAGACUAGCUGACAAAUCACACACUUCUGCACCAUGCGGAAGAGAGCAGCUUGGUACAUGUUGCUAGGGCAUUUUACGCUGGGUUUCUAGGGUAACUGGCAUCUCAACAUCCCCAGGUUUGUAUUCGGGCUAUUCCUGGUCUGAGGAUGACAGUCUGCUUUGGCACCUGAAGGCCUGUCAUUUUCAUCACUGCUUGUGACUUUGCUGCAUUCCUUCCUCACUGCCCAUUCUUUCCGCAGACCCUUAACACUGGCCUCGCCGCUCCUUCCAGCGGCUCUCAGCGGACCGCAUGACCUCCUGAUUUCCGAGGGCAACAUCCUACAGCCAGACUCCACGCAGCCCUCCUCUGCAGCGUUUCACACUAGGCAGAGCCCUAUUCCCUCUGAAAGUCUGCCGUCCACUGGCAUCGUUGGAAUUACACCGCAGGUCCUCUCCUGCCCGGAUGAUUCUUCUUUGUUGCCUUUGCUCGCUCCCACCCCCUGUCCCUUACACAUCAGCAUUCCCCAAGGUUCUGCCCCGAGCUACCUUCUCUUCGUGCUCUCUAUAUUUAUUCCCACUUGAGCUCAUCCAUGCACAUGCCUAUUAAAAUAACGGACCAAUGCCGAAAAGCCUAAUGAAAAAAGUAAAAAAUCAUUAGCAGUAACAUUUAUCACCUUUUUAAAUCUAUACUUAUGCAUAUAGUUGCAUGAUUUUAUCAAAAUUGGAUCAUUCUACACACAUGUGUUUCAUAGCCUACUUUUUAAAACUCAAUAAUACGGUUCGAACAUUAUAGAUUAACACAGAGGUUUUUUUUUUUUUAACUGUCAUUUUAAGUGUAUGAUGUUGUAUUACUAAUUUCCUAUGGCUGACAUAACAAAGUAUCACAGACAAGGUGGCUUAAAUAAUUUAUUUUCCCACCAAUCUGGAAGCUAGGAGUCUGAGAUCAAGGGAGUUGGUUUGGUUUGGUUGGUUUCUUCCAAGGUCUCUCUCUCUUUGGCCUACAGAGGGUCAUCUUCUCUCUGAUUUUCCUCUGUGUGUGUCUAUAAAAAUAGAUUGGGGUCCACCAUGUAUAAAGGCCCUAUCUUCAAAUACAGUCAAUUUCUGAGGCCUGGGGAUUAGGAUUUCAACAGAGGAAUUUGGGUGGGAGGGGACCACCCUUCAGCCCAUAGCACAUAUAUUGAAAAAGUCACUCAUGGAGUUCCUGUAAUGGCUCAGCAGUAACAACCUGACUAGUAUCCAUGAGGAUGCAGGUUCCAUCCCUGGCCUCGCUCAGUGGGUUAAGGAUCUGGCGUUGCCGUGAGCUGUAGUAUAGAUCACAGAUGCGGCUCAGAUCCUGCGUUGCUGUGGCUGUGGCCUAGGCCAGCAGCUGCAGAUAUGACUCAGCCUCUAGCCUGGGAACUUCCACAUGCUGCAGGUGUGGCUCUAAAAAGACACACACACAAAAAAAAAAAAAAAAAAAAAA